rnacentral:rRNA from 1 species
AUUGAACGCUGGCGGCAUGCCUUACACAUGCAAGUCGAACGGCAGCACGGGAGCAAUCCUGGUGGCGAGUGGCGAACGGGUGAGUAAUAUAUCGGAACGUGCCCAGUCGUGGGGAUAACGUAGCGAAAGCUACGCUAAUACCGCAUACGAUCUAUGGAUGAAAGCGGGGGAUCGCAAGACCUCGCGCGAUUGGAGCGGCCGAUAUCAGAUUAGGUAGUUGGUGAGGUAAAGGCUCACCAAGCCGACGAUCUGUAGCUGGUCUGAGAGGAUGACCAGCCACACUGGGACUGAGACACGGCCCAGACUCCUACGGGAGGCAGCAGUGGGGAAUUUUUGGACAAUGGGCGCAAGCCUGAUCCAGCAAUGCCGCGUGCAGGAUGAAGGCCU